UCCAAUAUAUGUUUAUGUAUGCUAGUGUGUGUCUGCUAUGAUAAAAAUGUCUUCUGGAUGACAAAUUUAAGCUGAACUGUCAACAUGUGUUGCUCAAGAGAU
rnacentral:lncRNA from 1 species